CCUACGGGAGGCAGCAGUGGGGAAUAUUGCACAAUGGGGGAAACCCUGAUGCAGCGACGCCGCGUGAGUGAAGAAGUAUUUCGGUAUGUAAAGCUCUAUCAGCAGGGAAGAAAGUGACGGUACCUGACUAAGAAGCCCCGGCUAACUACGUGCCAGCAGCCGCGGUAAUACGUAGGGGGCAAGCGUUAUCCGGAUUUAUUGGGUGUAAAGGGUGCGUAGACGGGUAUACAAGUUAGUAGUGAAAUCCCUCGGCUUAACUGAGGAACUGCUACUAAAACUAUAUAUCUUGAGUACUGGAGGGGAAA
rnacentral:rRNA from 1 species